rnacentral:lncRNA from 1 species
CACCUGCAGAGUAGCAGAUGGUGGCUUGUAGAAAGGGUGUCGAGGGAGGGGAGGUGCCGCGUGGAAACAGCCCAAGCCAAACCCCUAGGACCUGUCUCCCUGUCCUCCUAGAGAGCUGAAGGUGUUCCGUGGUCAGUGAGGGCUGGCACUGGCUCUGCACGAAGAUCUCCUCACCUCCCCAGCGGCUCCUGGCCAGCUCCCCACGGAGAGCCCAGGACACUUGUCCCUGGACACAGUGGUGCAGCCAUGCUUGGGCCAAACCAUGAGGCCACCAGAACCGCGAAAGGCUACUCUACUGAGAGGGAUACUGCGAGAGAGGCCCACGGGUUUCCAAGCAUCCCUCUCACUCCGCACACUCAUCUCCACGACCGGCUUUUAAGUGCGGCCUUGAGGCCUGGCUCCCUGUUUGGACUUCUCUGCACCUCCAGGAGCUCCCUUCCCGUCACAGCUGGAUGCCUCCUCCCGCAGGCACCUCCCCGGCAUCCUCCCGCCCCAGGCUGCACCUUCUGUGGGACUGGCCCCCGCAGGCACCUCCCCGGCAUCCUCCCGCCCCAGGCUGCAGCUUCUGUGGGACUGACCUUAAGACCCCAUCGGUUCCUCCUGAGAGCAGCAGAUCUCAGCCAGAUGCUGCCGGGAGGGAGGUGCUAGCGUCCACACCCAGACAGGGGUCCAGUCCAGCCCUGCUCUCCCUGGUCUCCAGGCAGGGCCCUCCCAGGGUGGACAUUGCCCAUCUCUGCCUGGCCAGGGGCUGCUGACCCACUGGUUCCAGAGUCUGAGCCUGUCCUGCACAAGUACCAUGGACAGGGGUCAGCCGGGCACUGAAGAGACGUGGCAGAAUUGGGCAGGGCAAGGGCCCCAGCUGGCAAGCUGGAGUCAGGGCAAUUCCAACCAAGAAACUGCGGCAGGCUGGGUGCAGUGUCUCAAGCCUAUAAUCCCAGCACUUUGGGAGGCAGUGGGAGAAUCGCUUGAGCCCGGGAGUUUGAGACCAGCAUUGGUAACACAGAGACACCCUAUCGCUACAAGAAAAAAAAAAAAAAAAAAGCUGGGCAUGGUGGUGCACACCUGUUGUCCCAGCUACUCAGGAGGCUGACGUGGGAGGAUUGCUUGUGCCCAGGGGUUGCAGGCUGCAGUGAGCUGUGAUCAUACCACUGCACUCCAGCCUGGGCGACAGAGAACCUCUCUAAAAAAAAAAGGAAAAUGAAAAAUAAAUGGGGGCAGAAGCUCCUCCAGGGCCCACC